rnacentral:rRNA from 1 species
UACGAAGGGAGCUAGCGUUGUUCGGAAUCACGGGGCGGAAAGCGCACGUAGGCGGCUGUGUCAGUCAGGGGUGAAAUCCCGGAGCUCAACUUCGGAACUGCCUUUGAUACAGCACGUCUUGAGUCCGAUAGAGGUGGGUGGAAUUCCUAGUGUAGAGGUGAAAUUCGUAGAUAUUAGGAAGAACACCGGUGGCGAAGGCGGCCCACUGGAUCGGUACUGACGCUGAGGUGCGAAAGCGUGGGGAGCAAACAGG